GCCUUCUUGGUGUAGUGGUCAGCACGCUCGGCGGGUAUUCGAGAGGUCCGUGGUUCGAGUCCCGGCAAAGGCA
rnacentral:tRNA from 1 species